rnacentral:misc_RNA from 1 species
UUUCCGUAGGUGAACCUGCGGAAGGAUCAUUGUCGAAACCUGCCCAGCAGAACGACCCGCGAACUUGUAUAAACAACCGGGGGCGGGGGGCGUUCUCGCCCCGUGCCCCCGAACGGCGGGGAGACACUCGUGCCUUCUUGCCGAACAACGAACCCCGGCGCGGUCUGCGCCAAGGAACUUCAGCUAAAGAGUGCCUCCGGUCGCCUCGGAAACGGCGUGCGUGCCGGGGGCGAAUCUUGUGCAAAACCAUAACGACUCUCGGCAACGGAUAUCUCGGCUCUC